CACGUAGGGUGCGAGCGUUGUCCGGAAUUAUUGGGCGUAAAGAGCUCGUAGGCGGUGUGUCGCGUCGGCCGUGAAAACCUGCAGCUUAACUGUGGGCUUGCGGUCGAUACGGGCAUCACUGGAGUUCGGCAGGGGAGACUGGAAUUCCUGGUGUAGCGGUGAAAUGCGCAGAUAUCAGGAGGGAACACCCGGUGGCCGAAGGCGGGUCUCUGGGCCGAUACUGACGC
rnacentral:rRNA from 1 species